AAGAAACCAGCACAUUUUUUUAGAAAUUAAAUAGCCUGGGAGUUGAGUAGAUUGAGGGAGUGUAAGGAGUGGUAUUUUUUUUCUACUUAAUGCAACUCCUGACAUAUAACACCAAGGAAAUAUACCUGGAAAUCUAAAUAGCUCAAAAUCAGCUUCCAGAUGUUUAGCAAAGCAGAAAGCCUAAACUCCACAACACAAGCAGUUGCAAAGCCUCCUAAAGUGACACAGUUCACCUGAAGAUGAGAAGUGCUCAGAAUCCAGAGUCCUCACCCUGUCUUCUCAUCUUCAAUACUCAAAACCAUUAUUGCUUCAAAGACGUAAGUAAGCAUUACUCACAUAAACUUUACCAUAUCUCAAUUUUAAUAUUUGUAUUAUUUGUAACUCACAUAGUUCUAUCAAACCAUAAGACAUUAGUAUAUAAUCACUCUACGGUUGACAGUGAAAAUCAAUCACAUUUGAUAAUCUGGGUAACAAUAAAUAAUUCUGUGUAGAGUAAAAUGUAAUGCGUUUAGAAUCAGAUUUUUCUUUGAAUUUCCCUCUGGUAGAAACUGAAAAGCGUUUACUUAAAAUUCUUCAUGCUCCGUUUCUACCUCGGGAAAAUUGGUAUAAUAAAAGUUACCUAAGUUUUCUUUUUUUAAAAACAUUUAUGGAAAAAAAAUCUGUAUAAAGUUUUACUAUUGUUAUCAGUAUCAGGUUCUCUAUGCAUUGUAACAGUCUAUAUAUAUAUACACACACACACACACACAUAUAUAUAUAAAUAUAUAAAUAAUAAGUGGCCUCCUUUUUGGACUUAAUGAAAGCUUAUGAAUCUGGGCAGUGGUUGAACUGUUUUCUGCAUGUCAGGCAGAAUUCUAAGAAUAUUCAGCAAUAGCUUCAGUCUUGAGUAAGCCCCUCCCUUUGGAAUGUGUCUGGCACUAGUAAAUACAAUGGAAAUUGAUUCCUGUGAUUAUAUUGUGUAAUAUCAUUGAACUUAAGAUAGGAAAAUCAUCUAGGUGGGCCUGACGUAGUCGGAUUAAUGCCGAUCAGUGGGUAUAAAAUUACAGUUUUUGUGAGAUUGAUAAAUUCUAGAGAUCUGCCGUAAUGCAUUAUCUCUACAGUUCAUAAUACCUAAUCGUACACUUGAAAAUGUUCAGCGAGUAGAUCUCAUCUUCACCAUUCUUAACACAAUUAAACAAAUUAUUUUUAAAAGCGGAGAAUGUUCUCUGGCUGAUGCUAGCAGGGGAAUGGGAAAUGUAAACCUAAGAGUAGUAAUGUUAAAACACUGGUAAGUAAUGAAUUCCUCUAAAUUCCCCUGACUCAUAUUCCUCUUCACUGUAAAAUUGCAAAAUUUUUCACCAGCCAAAAUCACCUAAGUCUCAUUCAUGUAACCAAAUCAAAGACCAUCACAUAAAAAUUAAAGAGUGAGUUAAAAGCUGUGUGUGGUGUCUCAUGUGCUGCAUAUAUCCUUAAAAAUAGUUUUGAGAUCUAUAUUUAGAAAGGUGCACUGAUUUUUCACGUACUCCUCCUGGUUGUGAUUUAGGCUUGAUAAAGAUUGAUUAUAUGCAUGAUAUCUGUUUUUUCCUUCUGUGGAUCCUCAUCUUAGUUAUUUUAAGCCCUUAUUUUCCCUUUCAAAUUAAACUGAGAGUAUGCUGGGUUUAUCUUUUAUGUCCAGUCCUAUAAGUUUACUUUGUUAUUUCUAGCAAAUACUUUUUUUUGUUUUUUUGCAGGGGGUGACGAGGGGUAAAUACAUCCCUCUGCAACAAAGCCUUCUGGAAAUCCUGAAUAAGAAGUCUGUGAAACUCAUCAUGUAACAAUGAUGACAAUAAUAAUACCAAACAAGUAGCAUGGAUUUACUACACACCAGCCUUUCUUUGAGCUAAGCACUCUACAUGAAUUCUGUCUUCAUGUGUUUAAACAACACCUGGGCUUUGAGAAUUUCAAGACUUUAGCAAUGUUGAUGCUGCAGUUAGGACUCAAAUCCAAUAUUUCUGAUAAGAACACAAGGCAUGUUCUCACUACUUUUAUAAAUAAAGCUAUUUAAUUUGAAUA